CUAAUUUAAUACAAAUAGCAUUACAAUUAUACGAAUCGGAUUCGUACUAAUUUCUGUUCAUCAGUUUCUCAAUUUGAUAGCAAUGAGUAGUGGGCGUUGGUGGUGACAGUUUAGUUAGGUUUUCCAGUGGUCACCGAGAAGAAAGUAACACUCGUGCUCGGACGAUGAACGCCGGCGUUCAAUUCUCCUCAGCAAGAUAAAGUGAAAAGCUCAAAACCUCCGGCGUUGAAAAUCGACGCGACAACACUAUCUCUGAGAAAUCGAAUUGAAGACUGUGCAGAAACCUCUAAAAUUUUCAAAAAUCUGGCAAUCAAUCGAGACGACGGCGCCUCCUCUGUCCAUACCAUGGACAUAGAGGUUGAAGCUGCUAUUGGUGACAGUUCUGCUUCUGCUGCUGAAAGGCGGUUAGAUUCGGGUGAAGAAAGUAGAGUUCAAGAACCAGUUGUGGGAAUGGAGUUUGAGUCUGAAGAUGCUGCCAAGGAAUUUUAUGACAACUAUGCUAGGCGUGCCGGCUUUGUGAUGCGCAUUGAUCAGUGCCGGAGGUCAGAAGUUGACAAGAGGAUUCUUUCUAGGCGGCUCUCGUGUAAUAAGCAGGGUUAUUAUGUGAAAAUGAAAGACCAAUUCGGGCCAGCUAGGAAGCCAAGAACGAGCACACGAGAAGGAUGCAAGGCAAUGAUGCUGGUAAAGAUUGAUAAGUCUGGUAAAUGGGUUGUUACCAGAUUCGUGAAGGAGCAUACUCAUCCAUUGAUUGUUUCUGGUCGCCCUUCCCGGAAUGCUAUGGACCAUAAAGACCGGAGGAUACAUGAGCUGACUAUGGAGUUAGACCGUCAGGAUAGGCUCUGUGAGUUGUACAGAGACCAGCUAAAUACUUUGUUGAAAUAUAUUGAGGAGCAGAUUGAGGUUGUAUCUGGAAAAGUUCAAGUAGUUGUCAGCAAUGUAAACCAAGUUGAAAAAGAAGCAUGGAAGCCACCAAAUCAAUAGUCUGCAAUACACACCCGCAUUGAGUUUUACCAACUCGUAAAACUUCUCUUUUUGGGGGUGGCUGAGACUUGAGCUGGUAUAACCUCUAAUGCCCUGGUGGAGAUUGCUUCUGCCUUAGGGACAAUCGUCAAGAAUCGGGAAAUAGUCUGCCAUUUUUGUUGCAUAGAUGGAGCUUGAUCAAGAGCAGGAAGAAUGAGCUCAGAAAGGCAGAAUGGCUACAUUGUUAAGGCAUAAUGCUAGUCUUUAUUGCAAUCUUGGUUAGUCUGAAGGGCUUGAGGCAGCAAAAUCACCACCCUUCAUCAUCUUCCUGAACUCAUCAUAGUUGACCAUGCCAUCCCCAUCCACAUCCACCUUGGCAAUCAUAUUCUUGCAGUCAUCCACGGUUCUUCCCUGCUUCAGCCCCAUGGCCACCAGCACCGACCGGAGCUCCUCCACGGUGAUGAACCCGUCGCCGUUCUGGUCAAACACGUUGAACGCCUCCCGCAUGUCCUCGUCGUCUCCCCCAACGCCCCUCUCGUCCAAGAGUGCCUCGUACAGCGCCCCGAACUCCUCCAUGUCCACAUGCCCGUCCCCAUUCACGUCAAUCUUCUCGAUCAUCUGGAUCAGCUCCUUCUCCGGAACGUGUAUGUUCAGCUUCUCCAACGAAUCGCUCAGCUCCUUCCUUGUGAUCUUCCCGUCUCCUUUCCUGUCAAACAUAAGGAAAACCCGACGAAGCUCCGCCGGAUCCAUUCCCCUAGGAGCACAGUACAAUCAGACAACGGAGAGCCUAGUAAAUCAAGAUUUUGGGUUCUUUUGGUGUGUUUAUGUUGCCUGCAAGAGAAUAUAUAUGAGGAAAGUGGAGAUACCAGUUAUGAGAGAGAUAUCAAUAGGAAUAUGAACGUUCACAAUGGUGAAAGUGAACGAGGAAACAAAUUCAUAAGGGAGAAAACAAGGUUAGUUGGAAUUGCAAGAAAAAGACAGAAACAUUAUAACAGGGAAAAGUAAAUAAAUAGGAAAAAGUAAAAGUCAAUGGAGGAAUUAAGAAGGGAUAACGAGGGUUAGCAUAACUUGAGGAUACCAAUGUUUGUCUCAAAAUCUCAAAAUCAGAAUGUAUCAUAAGUCAAA